AUUGAACGCUGGCGGCAGGCCUAACACAUGCAAGUCGUGCGGAUGAGGAAAGCUUGCUUUUCGAUUCAGCGGCGGACGGGUGAGUAAUGCCUAGGAAUCUGCCUGUUAGUGGGGGAUAACUCGGGGAAACUCGGGCUAAUACCGCAUACGUCCUACGGGAGAAAGUGGGGGAUCUUCGGACCUCACGCUAACAGAUGAGCCUAGGUCGGAUUAGCUAGUAGGUGAGGUAAUGGCUCACCUAGGCGACGAUCCGUCACUGGUCUGAGAGGAUGAUCAGUCACACUGGAACUGAGACACGGUCCAGACUCCGACGGGAGGCAGCAGUGGGGAAUAUUGGACAAUGGGCGAAAGCCUUAUCCAGCCAUGCCGCGUGUGUGAAGAAGGUCUUCGGAUUGUAAAGCACUUUAAGUUGGGAGGAAGGGUAUUCACCUAAUACGUGGGUACUUUGACGUUACCAACAGAAUAAGCACCGGCUAACUCUGUGCCAGCAGCCGCCGUAACAC
rnacentral:rRNA from 1 species